GGUAGCUUGGAGGUAAGUCGUGGUUGGUUCUGAGUUUCACAUAUGUUGUUUAAUGGUAGAUCAUGAACUGUUAGACAAUACUCAGCUAGAUGUAGGUAUGGAUCGAGCUCUGAAUGUGAUGCGUAAUUAUUAGUCCAUGUUUUUGCGAAUCAGACCAGAAGAAAUCACACUGUAAAUGUUGGUGAAGAUCAAACAAGGCGAAGUGGUUUUAUUAACUUUUGUGGGUUACUCAAAAUAGAGCCCAUGUUUUCUUAAGAUUGUGCGGAGUGGUGUCCUAAGUCCAAUGAGCAAUCACUUUUAUUUGAUUUGAAUUAAGAUGGUGGGAUGUACAUUACACAAAAACGUUAUAUAUUUAUUAUGCUCUCAGGGUCUUGAUUUGAAGGCCGGAAUUUUGUUAUCCCCUUGUAACGAAGGGGCUCUUUAUCAUGAAAUAUAUGUAGCCUACAAUAUUGUGAGUGUUAUCUCUCCUUCAAGGGAUGUAACCUUCAAUACUGUACUAGACGUUCUGUAGAGAAAGAAAGAUAUAUAUGAAGUUCUUUUUAAUUUUGUCAGAGAGAAAUGAGAGUGACACACAUGGAGAGAUAGAGUCGGGCCGGGACAUAUGUACAACUGCUUGAUCUCACCGUGAAGCAGCAAAGAUGCAUCUCAACCUUAACUUCGGCUCUUUGGACACUCUUGUUAUCUCUGUAAGAAUUUUCUGAUGUUUCUUUUGUGAUGCAUGUAGCUUUCAGCUUGCCAGCCUUUCAAAUCUGCAAGUGUCCGACGUACUAGGCUACUAUGGAAGUUUUGGAGGUUAUGUAGUUGUCGGUACUAGGUUUGACCAUUUGAGUUUUAUAUUCUGUAUGUAUAGGAAGGUCGCUUUAUUUGUUCUAGGGUCAUUUUUGAACAUGUUUAUGUAUUAUAAGAUCAUGGGCAUGUAUUGAUUAUGAAAUUAUUUUGUUUCUCAAAUGAAACUAUUUUAUCUAUCAAUAAUAUAUGUAGAUUGCCUGCCGUGUCUUUUCUAGGUUUACCUUCCUUCAUUAUGUUGCAUCAUGUGAUGUGAAUUUUUUAUUGUAGUUAAAGUCGCUGCUGCAAUUUUACUACAAAGAAUUAUGGUUGUAGUUACAAUUGUGCAAAAUAGUGGCUGAUCGUGCAGGGCGAGCAAUGGAGAAGGAAAAUGUUGUGGUGUACCUGAUGGGAAAAAUACAUAGGAGCUCCUGGGUGCCCGUGAACCCUAUAUAAAAAUUAAAGUUUACGGUCAAGAUAAUUUAAUCUGCAUGGAUGAAUGUGAUGGCUUGUUAGCCUAGAUUUUUAUUAUACUUGUCGAAGUAUCAUGCACAUGAACCUAAAGACAGCAUUCCUACCUUGUAAUAGAAUAUCUUAAGCGCAUCAAGUAAAUCUUAGUUUGUAAUAUAUAAUAUCUUAAGCGCAUCAUGUCUCUCUGUGUAUAUAAUCAAAUUACCUUGUAGGUG
rnacentral:lncRNA from 1 species